GACAGCAGCAGCCGCGGGAACACGAAGGGUGCAAGCGUUAAUCGGAAUUACUGGGCGUAAGGCGUGCGCAGGCGGUUAUAUAAGACAGUUGUGAAAUCCCCGGGCUCAACCUGGGAAUGGCAAUGGAUACUGGCAAGCUAGAGUGUGUCAGAGGAUGGUGGAAUUCCCGGUGUAGCGGUGAAAUGCGUAGAGAUCGGGAGGAACAUCAGUGGCGAAGGCGGCCAUCUGGGACAACACUGACGCUGAGGCACGAAAGCGUGGGGAGCAAACAGGAUUAGAUACCCGUGUAGUCCCUGUCUCUUAUAC
rnacentral:rRNA from 1 species